rnacentral:lncRNA from 1 species
AUUGAAGCUGGGACCAUGUGGUUGGGAAAUAAGCCUCUUAACCAUACAACAUGUGACAAGAUAAUACAAACGAGGUCAUAGAUAAGGAGAAAUGCAUCAAAGGUGAGUUUAAAUGAAAAUCAUCAUCAUCAUCAUCAUCAUCGUUUAACGUCCGUUCUCCAUGCUAGCAUGGGCUGGACGGUUCGACCGGGGAUCUGGAAAGCCAGGAGGCUGCACCAGGCUCCAGUCUGAUCUGGCAGUGUUUCUACAGCUGGAUGCCCUUCCUAACGCCAACCACUUCGUGAGUGUAGUGGGUGCUUUUUAUGUGCCACCUGCACUGGUGCCAGGCGAGGCUGGCAUCGGCCACGGUUGGAUUGGUGCAUUUUACAUGCCACCGGUACGGAAGCCAGUCGAGGCGGCGCUGGCUUCGGCCACGAUUCGGAUGGUGCUUUUUACGUGCCACCGACACGGAAGCCAGUUGAGGCGGUGCUGGCAUCGGCCACGGUUCGGAUAGUGCUUUUUACGUACCUCCAGUCCAGGGGUCCUGGCAUCUGCCGGGUGCCAGUCAUAGGAUUGGUUCAAUUUCGAUUCCGAUUUCGAUUUCACUUGCCCCAACAGGUCUUCGCAAGCAAAAUGAAAUUGAAAUACCAUAAAUCAGGUAAAAUACAGGUGAAAUGAGAUGAAAUUCUGAUUGCUAACUACAGCCGAGUCUUUAUUCACUUUCAGUCUGUCUGUGAUCCCAUUAUGCUUCUUGUCCUUUUGUACAUCCAUAGAUCACAUUAUGCCCACCAUAUGGAAUUCCUACCCGCUCCAUUUCUGUAAUAUAGAGCACAAAGAUUUCUCCGAUGCCAACUGAAUUCUUUCUUCUUACAGUAACUUUAGUCUUUGCUAAGAUUAUUGUGAAAUUUCUCAAUUCUAGGAAAGUCAAAAUAAAACAAAGAACAAAAUAAAACAUUUUAUUCUUCAUUCUGUUUUACCUUCUCUCCCUCAUAAUCUGACCACAAAGACAGAAUCAGAAUUUAUAGCCAGCAUGGACAAUUUUUUGCUUUUCCUUUCUUUAUUUUUUUCAGUUUCUGUGUUUUGUAUUUUUAAUAUAAUUGUGUUUUGUCUGUUGCUGUAUCUAUGGAUUGAAUUUUGUCUGCAAAUUGCUGAAAAUAGUCACUGCUUUGGGUGUUCAUUCUCUCACUGGGUGAAAUGACAGUAUGAUCUAACGAAGGACUUAUUUAAAACAAUCACCUGAAGAAGCACAUCUUGCACCUUUAACUCUUUCGUUACCAACCUGGCUGAAACCAGCUCUGGCUCUGUAGUAUAAAUGUCUUGUUUUUAAAAGUUCUGAAUUAAAAUCUUCCACCAAACCUUAGUCACAAUUUAUGUUCCUAACACUAGCUGAAUGAUAACUAAGUUAUUUUACUAAAUACUUUGUUAUAUUUAAAGUAAUUGAAAGAAACACAGCAUCUCAACAGAAAUAUGGUAACAAAAGGGUUAAAAUAUAUAAUAGAGAAACCAUUCUUAACCCUUUCGUUACCAACCUGGCUGAAACCGCUUCUGGCUAUAUAAUUCAAAUGUCUUGUUUUCAAAAGUUUUGAAUUAAAAUCUUCCAUCAAACCUUUGUCACAAUUUAUGUUUCUAACACUAGCUGAAUGAUAACUAAGUUAUUUUACAAAAUUCUCUGUUAUAUUUAAAGUAAUUGAAAGAAACACAGAGCAUCUCAAAAUAAAUAUGGUAACGAAAGGAUUAAUGGAUGAUAGUGAUUACACAAUAUGUUAAUUAUAUCAUCUCACCAAUGUACCAAUGUUAUCAUCGUUUAACUUCUGUCUUCCAUACUAGCAUGGAUGGGACACACAAUUGAAAUGAUUUUAAAUAAUGCCACUCAGUCCAUUCUCUGUUAUUUAUCUAUUUAUUUAAGAUCUAUGGAUACUAUGGAAUUCCUGAUGAAUAUAUCCUUUAUCAUAAGCAUUUCCACUGUAUAAUGACAUCUGCUAGCCAAUAACUGUGGGUGAGCUUUGCAUAGCAUAUGACAAGGUUUUUUAAAUAAAAAUAAAUGCGCCCUUUUAAAGCCUAGCCAGGCUCAUGGGCCCAGUUUCCCGGUUUCUAUGGCGUAUGUGUUCCCCAGCUGGAUGGGACGCCAGUCCAUCACAACAUUACUCAUUUUUGUCAGCUGAGUGGACUGGAGCAACAUGGAAUAUAGUGUUUUACUCAAGAGCACAACGCGUCGCGCGGUCCAGGAAUCGAAACCACAAUCUUACGAUCAUGAUGCUGACACCCUAACCACUAAGCCACGCACCUCCACACAAGGUUUUUUUUACCCAAAUCUUAUUUAACUAAUAUAAAUUACAUACACAUGCAUGCACACACAUGCACGCUCUCUCUCUCUCUCACACACACACAUUCACACACGCACUCUCACACUAACAACCUAGCAAUUAUGUUUAAAUAUAUAAAUGCCUUGACCUAAAAUUAUAUCAAUUAUUUGCCUUAUUCAUGAUUGUGUUCUACAGUAUGUGUUUCUGCUCAAUGACAAACCACUUUAUAGUCAUUUGUUGCCAGGCAACUGUAUCAUCAUUAUCUUUUGGCUUUAGAAGUUGGAGUUUUAGAUGCUAAAUCACUCUGAAAAUUAAUUGCAUGUCAUUAUAUCAUUUGAUAGAAUAUUACUUGAACUAUAUAAGUGUGGCUUCAUGGUUAGAGUAUUCGACUCACUAUCACAAGGUCGUGAGUUCAAUUCCUGGUGCCGCUUUGUGUCCUUGAGCAAGACACUUUAUUUCACGGUGGUCCAGUCCACUCAGCUGGCAAAAGUGAGUAGUACCUGUAUUUCAAAGGGCCAGCCUUGUCACACUCUGUGUCAUGCUGAAUCUCCCUGAGAACUAUAUUAAGGGUAUGUGUGUCUGUGGAGUACUCGGCCACUUGCACAUUUAAAUUCAUGAGCAAGCUCUUCUGUUGGUCGGAUCAGUUGGAACCUUCUUUGUCCUAGCCAAUUAUUGUAUGUGUGUGUGUGUGUGUGCAGGGGGUCCAUCUAUGCUAAAGAUAAGUCUCAAAAUGGAAGUGUUAUCUUUAUUUUUAGCAGAUUGGGAGACCCUGUAGACCAAUGGUUCUCAAAUGGGGUCCAUGUAAGAUUUACUUGUUAAAAUUUCUGUGCAAUAGAUUGGUUUUAUUUCUACAAUACACAAAAUAUUCUAGCAACUUUUUUUUUAUACAAUUCCUAAUAUGAAAAUAGUGGAGGCGCAAUGGCCCAGUGGUUAGAGCAGCGGACUCGCGGUCAUAGGAUCGCGGUUUUGAUUCCCAGACCGGGCGUUGUGUUUAUUGAGCGAAAACACCUAAAGCUCCACGAGGCUCCGGCAGAGAUGGUGGUGAUCCUUGCUGUACUCUUUCACCACAACUUUUUCUCACUCUUACUUCCUGUUUCUGUUGUACCUGUAUUUCAAAGGGCCGGCCUUGUCACUCUCUGUGUCACGCUGAAUAUCCCCGAGAACUACGUUAAGGGUACACAUGUCUGUGGAGUGCUCAGCCACUUACACGUUAAUUUCAUGAGCAGGCUGUUCCGUUGAUUCGGAUCAACCGGAACCCUUGUCGUUGCAACCGACGGAGUGCUUCCACAAUAUGAAAAUACAAUAGGAGUUUUUAAACCAUUGAAUGGCUAGGAGGGUCCUUCCAAGUAAAGUAGGAAUCAAAGGGUUCCAUAGAUAAAAAAUGGUUGAAAAACUCUGAUACAGAAGGUUCCUGACUGAAAUAAGUCCUGUCUCUAGUUAUUAUUUAUAUUUAGCCUCAAAGUAAGUUAACAACUUGUAGCUCAUAACAAUCGUGUGCAUUCUAAUUUUAAAACUUUUUAACAACCAUCCUAUUUUUUCUAUUUUUUUAAUGGACAAUCACAUUAUUGUGAACGUGACUGCAACACUCUAACCACUAUACCACAUGAUUUCAUAAGAAUCAACAAAUGCUAUGUAGAGAGAAUAUAUUCUGUGUGUAGUUAUUGAAAGCUGAACCAGGAAGAGAUAACCAAAAUGAUUUAUUCUAAAACUAGCAGUAUCGCCCGGCGUUGCUCGGGUUUGUUUCGACCCUUUAGAAUUGGAAUUUUUGAAAAGUAAAAAUUUUGGAUUAUGUAGCUUGUUAUUCUCUUUAAGUGAACAUUUUCUGGUUGAAAUACACCAAAAAAUGGCGACACAGCAGUAAAAAAAUCGUAAAAAAUAGGGCUUUUCAUAGAAAAAAAAAGCACCUUUUUGAUGUAAAUAAUUUUUGGUGUUAACAUGGUCCGAUUUGAAUUUUAUCUUCUACAGAAUGAAGAGCAAGCCUUCUUCUAUCAUACUCUCAAUUUUGGUCAACUUGCACUGCAGGUUCUCGGAGGAGAUAGUGUUAGUUGAAGGCUACCAAACCUGCCACACACAGACAACUUCAGCUUUAUAUAUAGAGAGAUUAAUAUGUUUAUUUUUACUGCUUGCUUAACAGAAAUCAUUGAAUUGAUCAGUCUAGAUAACUUCAAUAUAAACACACCUUACUUCCCUGGGCAUGGAUACAUUGGAACUCCGACGUCUGGCAGCUGACUUGGCAGACACCCAUAAAAUUAUUAACCAUCUUACUAGCAAUAACUCUGAGCACCUUUUCAAACUCCACCUGUCUAACACCCGUGGACAUGUUUACAAAGUCAGAAAAAAGCACAGCUCCCAUGACUUUCGGAAACAUUUUUUCACGCUAAGAGUUACUGAAGUAUGGAACAAACUGCCAGCAUCAGUUGUUAGUUGUCGGAGCACUGCAUCCUUGAAUACUUCCAUGCUUCCUGAGAUUCACCAACACUACACCUGAUUUUAUCCCCUCCAUACACACGCAAACAUGUAUCUGACUCAUACACUGUUCACUUCCCAGACAUUUGUACAUUACUGCAUAUGCUUUAUAUGCACUUUUGACAAGUUGUGGUGCACCUGAGCACUGUAUACAAUAAUUUCAUUAUUAUUAUUAUUAUUAUUAUUAUUAUUAUUAUUAUUAUUAUUACUACUAUUAUUAUUAUUAUUAUUAUUAUUAUUAUUAUUAUUAUUAUUAUUAUUAUUCAGUAGUUCUAUUUUUAUAGCGUGCUUUCACUUCACUACCGAGCGCAGAUCUGUGUGCCUUGGGUAUGUGCUAUGAUUUGUUGUGAUGCUCUGAUGGUUACUGUAUUGAAAGUCGUCGUCGUCGCCGCCGCCGCCGCCUCCAUCACCACCACCACCACCACCACCACCACCACCACCACCACCACCACCAUCAUCAUCAUCAUCAUCAUCAUUAUUAUUAUUAUUAUUAUUAUUAUUAUUAUUAUACUUCAGCAUUAGCUCUGUUGUCUAUUUUUGUGUGUUUAUAUGCAUGAAAGAGAGAAACAGAUAUAUGAGGAUUGUAUGCUUGGAAAAUGUACAUAUAUUGUCUCCUGCAGAAGAUAUGUAAUGGACAUAGAAUAUGAAUUGUGAGUGAUUUGUACUUUAAUGGUCAGGAUAAGAUGACAUUGCGUUCGGUUGCAUUAAAGCAAACUCUGGUGAGAAGUUUGAAGGGAAACUUGUUUAUAUAUAAAAAAAAAAAAAAAACUAAAAACAUAAAAGAAUGUUGCAAUGUUCCAGAAAGUUCUGUCAGAAUCAGAAUUUUGGCAAGGAAAUAAUCCUGUCUUUCAAGUUGGCAUUAUCGCUGUCACUUCCACUUAACACCUGCUUUCCAUGAUUGCGUCACAGAAUCCCGCAAGACACAAGGUUGCACUAAGCUGCAGUGUCUGCUAACACAAACCAUAUUACAGUGUGUAACUGGGUGUUUGUUUUUCCUCAUGACAUUGGCUCUUGUGAAGUUGCCAGGUAACUUACAAGACAGAAAAAAAAAAACAGAAAAAAAAAAAUGGAGAAAAACAAAAAUACACUUUUAUUUACUCUUUAAUCAUUUACUCUUUUACUUGUUUCAGUCAUUUGACUGCGGCCAUGCUGGAGCACCGCCUUUAGUUGAGCAACUCGACCCCAGGACUUAUUCUUUGUAAGCCUAGUACUUAUUCUGUCAGUCUCUUUUGCCGAACCACUAAGUUACGGGGAUGUUGUAUUGUCCCCUCUAUGUUCGCCCCUAGUGGGUAAUAAUAAAACAGAUGUUGGGGGACAAACACAGACACACAAACAUAUAUAUAUAUAUAAAGCACCGUCCGUUCAUGGCCGUUUGCCAGCUCUGUCUGGCCCCGUGUCGGUGGCACGUAAAAGCACCAUCCGUUCGUGUCCGUUGCCAGCAUCGCCUGGCCCUGUGCCGGUGACACGUAAAAGCACCAUCCGUUCAUGGCCGUUCGCCAGCUCUGUCUGGCACCUGUGCAGGUGGCACGUAAAAAACACCCACUACACUCGCGGAGUGGUUGGCGUUAGGAAGGGCAUCCAGCCGUAGAAACACUGCCAGAUCUGACUGGGCCUGACGAAGCCUUCCUGCUUCACAGACCCCAGUUGACCCGUCCAACCCAUGCUGGCAUGGAAAGCGGACGCUAAACGAUGAUGAUGAUGAUAUAUAUAUAUAUAUAUAUAUAUAUAUAUAUAUAUAUAUACUCUUUUACUUGUUUCAGUCAUUUGACUGUGGCCAUGCUGGAGCACCGCCUUUAGUUGAGCAACUCGACCCCAGGACUUAUUCUUUGGAAGCCUAGUACUGAUUCUGUCAGUCUCUUUAGCCGAACCGCUAAGUUACGGGGAUGUAAACACACCAGCAUCGGUUGUCGAGCGAUGUUGGGGGGACAAACACAGACACACAAACAUAUACACACUCAUACAUAUAUAUAUACACAUAUAUAUGACGGGCUUCUUUCAGUUUCCGUCUACCAAAUCCACUCACAAGGCUUUGGUCAGCCCGAGGCUAUAGUAGAAGACACUUGCCCAAGGUACCACGCAGUGGGAUUGAACCGGGAACCAUGUGGUUGGUAAACAAGCUACUUACCACACAGCCACUCCUAUGUCUAUAUAUACAUUUAUUGAAAUAAAUGUCAGAAGGUGUAUUUGCAUGUAUGUACUUUUGUGCAUGCGGUUGUUAUAAUACCAUAUAUGAUAAUAUUGACUAAAAGCAAGACCUCAUAUUGACAGAAAUGCCAGAGGAUCAAUUCUAAAGAAAAUCUGCAACCAUAUUUUUUCAUUGUUCUUGAUUGCUUUCUCAACGUUCUUCCUAAUAUUUCACGCUUUCGUCUUUGUUUCUAUUUCACUGGAUUUCUCUUGAUAGUAUCACAUGGGAUCAACUCAUUGUUCCCUGUCCAUCUUAUCUCUAGGUACCUGUUGAUUUUUUUCUUUGAUAUUGUGAAAUAUUUCACUAUUCAAGCUUGGUAAUAUUGGUUUCAAAUUUUGACACAAGGACAGCAAUUUUGGGGGCAGGAGUAAGUUGAUUACAUUGAUCCUCAGUACAUGACUGGUACUUAUUUUACUGACCCUGAAAAAACUAAAGGCAAAGUUAACCUUGGUUGAAUUUGAACUCAGAAGACAAAGAUGGACAAAACGCCACUAAGCAUUCUGUCACUUUGCCACUUUAUCACACCUGGCAGUAUUGACUUUUCUUAUCUGUUGGCCUUGGUUUAAACUUUGUCUUAUGCCCUAUUUUUCUUCUCAUAUCUCUUUCCUAUAUUGCGUCAUUUUUACCCCCCAAGUCUACAGUUUUGUUUUGUAGUCAAGGUUGUUUAAAAUGUAAAGAGAAAAUAUUACUUUAGCGCCAAAAAUGCGCUGAAGUGUAAAAAGAUACAAAAACAUGACAAAAAACAGAAAUAUCUUCCUGGCUGUCUUAUUGUUGUAAGUAAAACUGAAGUGAAAGUAUUUUUGUUUAACAAUUCAGGAAGAUUUUCCGAGAAAAAUAAUUCAGGCAUCUAAGAAGCUAUGAUUCACACAGUACAGCAAAUUAUUUGCUCAAUCCUGUUUUUAUCAGCCUGUUACAGCAAAAAAAUUCCACUGAAAGAAAAGGAAGAAAGAUUGAAUAGUUCAGGUCUUGUCUAUUGAAAUGUAAUAAUAUGCAGUAAAUUCCAGCAACAAACCAGAUUUUAUAUGAAGUACAAUAAUAAUAAUAAUAAUAAUAAUAAUAAUAAUAAUAAUAAUAAUAAUGAAAUUAUUGUAUACAGUGCUCAGGUGCACCAAAACUUGUCCAAUGUGCUUGUAAAGUUUAUGCAGUAAUGUACAAAUGUCUGGAAAGUGAACAGUGUAUGAGUCAGAUACAUGCUUGUGUGUGUAUGGAGGGGAGAAAAUCAGGUGUAGUGUUGGUGAACCUCAGGAAGCAUGGAAGUCUUGAAGGAUGCAGUGCUCCGACAACCAACAACUGAUGCCGGCAGUUUGUUCCAAAGAAACAGGCAAGAAGUGAGUUAAGAAAGGAAAAGAAAGAAAGAGAAAGAAUGGUGGGGGUAAAGCAGCGGAAGAUGGAGGAGGAGGGAGCGAUGAGCAACAUACCCCAGAAGAAAUGGUGUGCUUAGCCAUGCCCCAUGGCUAUGACCAUGAUGGCAAUGCCACAGAGAAUGGCCAGUGACGCUCGCAGUAUUAGCCACUCCACCUUGUGGCAUUCAUUUCUCUGAUGGGUUGCCAUUAUCUUGAUUAGGCAGAAGAAUUUGGUAGUGAUGGGGUUUCUGAGAACAUCUGAUGUCUUGAUCUUGAUCAUUUGAAACGUAUAGCAACCAGUCAGGUCCCUGUAUUUAUUGAUUUUUCUUUCCUUUGUGUUACAGGCAGCAACAUCCAGAACUGCGGCUAACACAGCAUGGUUGGAGCCAGAGAACAUCUCACUGCACAUCAUGUCCAGAACAGGGAUCUGCCUGACUUGAAUAGGAAGAAGGAUAUUCAAUUAGAGUACUUAAUGACCCCACAGUCAAGACAUGUUGGUUGAAGUUGAAACAAGAAGCCAGCUACAUCAAAG